rnacentral:rRNA from 1 species
AGAUUGAACGCUGGCGGCAUGCUUUACACAUGCAAGUCGAACGGUAACAGGCCGCAAGGUGCUGACGAGUGGCGAACGGGUGAGUAAUGCAUCGGAACGUGCCCAGUCGUGGGGGAUAACGCAGCGAAAGCUGUGCUAAUACCGCAUACGAUCUAUGGAUGAAAGCGGGGACCAAAGGCCUCGCGCGAUUGGAGCGGCCGAUGUCAGAUUAGCUAGGUUGGUGGGG